UACAGAGGUCUCAAGCGUUGUUCGGAUUCAUUGGGCGUAAAGGGUGCGUAGGCGGCGCGGUAAGUCGGGUGUGAAAUCUCGGGGCUUAACUCCGAAACUGCAUUCGAUACUGCCGUGCUUGAGGACUGGAGAGGAGACUGGAAUUUACGGUGUAGCGGUGAAAUGCGUAGAUAUCGUAAGGAACACCCGUGGCGAAAAGCGGCGCGCUGGACCACUACUGACGCUGAGGAACGAAAGCUAGGGGAGCAAACAGG
rnacentral:rRNA from 1 species